rnacentral:rRNA from 1 species
UACGGGGGGGGCAAGCGUUGUCCGGAUUUAUUGGGCGUAAAGAGCGUGUAGGCGGCCAGGUAGGUCAGCUGUGAAAACUCGAGGCUCAACCUCGAGAUGUCGGCUGAAACCAUCUGGCUAGAGUCCGGAAGAGGAGAAUGGAAUUCCCGGUGUAGCGGUGAAAUGCGCAGAUAUCGGGAAGAACACCCGUGGCGAAGGCGGUUCUCUGGGACGGUACUGACGCUGAGACGCGAAAGCGUGGGGAGCGAACAGG